AAGACGCAGUCAUACUCCCUGCAGAGCCUUGCACCCAACAGAAGCAGGCGGAGUGCCUCACGGUCUGUAAGAGUGGGAGGGCCAGACAGAGGAGGUGAGGACAGUCCUGGAGUUCAGUCUGAGCCACAGGGCAGGGCAGCAGCCUGGCCUCUCUGAGCAGGGCACUGCCCAGCUCUCUUUUCUGGCAGAACCUGGUCAUAUGUGCCAACUCUGAGUCAGCCACACCUAACAAUCUCAGGCCAGGGAGGUUUCAGCUUGGGCCAGAUGCCAGAAGACGACCUGUGUGGGGAGGGUUCAGGGUAUGUAAAGGAAGAACCUGGCUGCAGCCCCCACCAGAGGCAUCUGGGGCCGGGGGAGAAGCUGCGGUUCCACAUAAUGCCCUAGUUUGGAGCCUGGGGCUCAGAGCUGGGAGGUGACGUGGAUAAAUAGGAAUGAUGCUUGAAUUGAAGCCAAGGCAACUGCUGGUGUCAGAAUUUCUUCGCAUUUCUGCCUGGGAAGAGGAAUAGGGCUGGAAGAGUCCUGAUGUACUGAGUAGAGGGGUUUGGAGGACCCCAGGAAAGUCAGAGGCUCCCAGAGGGCAGGCCUGAAGGCAUAUGUCCUAGCCUAGAUGAAAAGAGAGAGAGAGAGAGAGAGAGAGAGAGAGAGUGAGUUGAGGGCAGAAAAGAACCCCCUCAUCCAUCCUUCCCCCAUACCCCUGGCUCAGGCUCUAAAGUCAGGCCUGCCAGUGUGGACUUGCUCAUCCCUGACUGGAAAGGAAACCAAGGAGAGUCUGCCAGGCCUGCCAGGCCAGGGAGCACUCCUACUGAAGAACAGACCCACCAGAACAAGUGCCAGAUAAAGAGCUAGACCCUGUAUGUGGGUCAGAGAGGAGGCUCUCCGAAGUUCCUAAGCCCUGACCCAGUCUCAGUCCUCAGAACAGGAAGACCUGCUCUGUGGCUUGCAUCCCUACCUGGGGUAUUCAAGACCACCUACACCUGAUUGUACUAGAAAGAGGAGGGGUUAAAGCGAGCCAGGCUUCUCCUCCAAGAGAGGUCCAACAGACUUUCAGGUCCUGUCCUUCCACUCUGCUGUACAGAUCACCAGAGAUUUGCGGUGUGAGAGGCUCAAAGAAGGGAAAGCAGAGAUCCGGGGAGCCACAGCUGGACGGCCGGACGCCCGGGCCCUGUUUCAC